AGGAUGAACGCUAGCGGCAGGCUUAACACAUGCAAGUCGAGGGGCAGCACGUCUUCGGAUGGUGGCGACCGGCGCACGGGUGAGUAACGCGUAUGCAAUCUACCUUUUACUGGGGCAUAGCCCGGGGAAACCCGGAUUAAUAUCCCAUGGUACCAUGAUAUAGCAUUAUAUUAUGGUUAAAGCUUUGGCGGUAAAAGAUGAGCAUGCGUCCUAUUAGCUUGAUGGUAAGGUAACGGCUUACCAUGGCUAUGAGUAGGUAGGGGUCCUGGAGAGGGACGACCCCCCACACUGGUACUGAGACACGGACCAGACUCCGUACGGGAGCAGCAGUGAGAAUAUUGGACAAGUGGGCGAGAGCCUAGCUCCACGCCAUCGCCGCGGUUAGCCGAAGGGUAACGGACCGG
rnacentral:rRNA from 1 species